UUCCCAACCCAGGGAUCGAACCCACGUCUCCUGCAUUGGCAGGCAGAUUCUUUACCACUGAGCCACCUGGGA
rnacentral:tRNA from 1 species